UACAGAGGGUGCAAGCGUUAAUCGGAAUUACUGGGCGUAAAGCGUGCGUAGACGGUUAUGUAAGUCAGAUGUGAAAGCCCCGGGCUCAACCUGGGAAUUGCAUUUGAGACUGCAUAGCUAGGGUGCGGAAGAGGGAAGCGGAAUUUCCGGUGUAGCGGUGAAAUGCGUAGAUAUCGGAAGGAACACCAGUGGCGAAAAGCGGCUUCCUGGUCCAGCACCGACGUCAGGCACGAAAGCGUGGGGAGCAAACAGG
rnacentral:rRNA from 1 species